rnacentral:tmRNA from 1 species
GACCUUUCUUCUCGGCCCGUGAACCCCUAUAUUGGGGAUGCCGGCGCAAGCCGGCUAUGGCGAUAAAUGGCCGUCGUAAUAAACCUAUCGGACCCGGGGGCAGUACCCGGCGCCUCCACCCGUGCGGUUCGGUGUCGCCAGCGCGACGCCAGAUCAGGCUCGAAGGACCGAACUCUGAGGACCGAACUCUGAGGACCGCACCGGCGGGGGCGAAAUAGGAUCGACGAGGGCGUAAAGGGCGAGCUUUUGCUCGGCAUGGUACCGCCGUUAUCGGGCCAAUUGUGUAGUUGCGAAUGACAACUAUGCUCCGGUUGCUCAGGCCGCGUAAGCGGUUUGAAAAGCCGAACUUAAAGUCCUGACGGGAUAAGCUCCGGCAGGCGGGGUUCGGAGGCACCUGGCAACAGAAGCCUCCACU